rnacentral:pre_miRNA from 1 species
UUACUACUCCCUCUGUCCGGAAAUACUUGUCAUCAAAAUGAAUAAAAGGGGAUGUAUCUAGAUGUAUUUUAGUUCUAGAUACAUCCCUUUUUAUUCAUUUUGAUGACAAGUAUUUUCGGACGGAUGGAGUAUAAU